UACGUAGGCAGCAAGCGUUGUUCGGAAUUACUGGGCGUAAAGAGUGUGUAGGCGGUUCUCUAAGUUCCGUGUGAAAUCUCCCGGCUUAACUGGGAGGGUGCGCGGAAGACUGGAGGGCUGGAGUAUGGGAGAGGAAAGCGGAAUUCCUGGUGUAGCGGUGAAAUGCGUAGAUAUCAGGAGGAACACCUGCGGUGUAGACAGCCUUCUGGACCAUCACUGACGCUGAGACACGAAAGCGUGGGUAGCAAACAGG
rnacentral:rRNA from 1 species